AGUGAUCCUCCCACUUAAGCCUCCCAAGUAGCUGGGACUACAGGCUCACACCACCACGCCUGGCUUUAUUUUAUUUUUUUUGUAGAGACAGGGUCUCGCUAUAUUGCCCAGGCUGGUCUCAAACUCCUGAACUCAAAGCGAUCCUCCUGCCUCGGCCUCCCAAAGUGCUGGGAUUACAAACGUGAGCCACCGUGCCUGGCUGUGAUGAACAUUUAAAUCAGCAGACUUUGAAUAAAGACGAUGACCCUCCACAAAGCAGAAUUUAAAAACAAAGAAAGAAAGAAAAAACAUCUUUACACGAGUUUUUAAAUCCUACUUUAAAACACAAAAGAAACAAAUCCAUCAUUGGCCACACAGCCCCAGCCACGGCCUCCCCACCAUGGAGCGAGAGGAGCCGCCUGGGUCCUGUUGCGCACGCGGAUUUGCUGGUCUGCUUAACUGGUGUCCAUUCUGGCAUUAUAGGCGUCCAUCUCCUCUGCCGAAAA
rnacentral:lncRNA from 1 species